GGUUUCAUUGUAUAUGAACCCUCUUAGUUCUGGUACAUAUGUAUUCCUAACAUUAAAUUUUAUGUCAAAAGUUUCCCCAUUACGUGCCAUCAGAACUAUAUUAAGUGUGAUUAUUUGACAACUAUUAGUAUCUGUUUUAUAGAUACAGUUGUAAUCUAUGUGUACAGUUUUGAAUAAACUCUAAAUCUU
rnacentral:misc_RNA from 1 species